UACACUUGGAAAUUCAGGCAAGCAAAUUAGU
rnacentral:piRNA from 1 species